GAGGACGAGCUUUUGGCCGAUGCCCUUCUUUUGGAAGAUGAAAGAGAUGAAUUAGAGGAUCCGGAGUUUGACAUCAAAUGUCUUCUACAGGAAGCUGAGGAUGACGUGGACCCGGGACACAGCAGCUCAGUGAAAGAACUAGAUACUGAUGCUGAUAAAUUGAAGAAGAAAACAGCUGAGGACAGAACGCAGGCAUUUCACCUGCGGCAGAACCUGAGCGCCCUGGAUAAGAUGCAUGAGGAGCAAGAGCUUUUCACUGAGAAGAUGAGCGUCUCCUAAAAACUAAAAACAUUCAGCGGAGAGUGGUGGCGCACGCCUGUGGUCCCAGUGACUUGGGAGGCUGAGGCCAGAGGAUGGCUUGAGCCCAGGAGGUCAAGGCUGCAGCAAGCCUGGGUGACAGAGCAAGACCCUGUCUCUAAAAAUAAAAAACUGAAAGACAAA
rnacentral:lncRNA from 10 species